CGCGCAGGCGGCCCGGCAAGUGAGACGUGAAAGGCUCUGGCUCAACCAGGGAAAUGCGUCUCAUACUGCCGGGCUUGAGGACGGGAGAGGAGACGGGAAUUCUCGGUGUAGCGGUGAAAUGCACUGAUAUCGGGAAGAACACCAGUGGCGAAGGCGCGUCUCUGGCCCGUUCCUGACGCUCAGGCGCGAAAGCUGGGGGGAGCAAACA
rnacentral:rRNA from 1 species